rnacentral:rRNA from 1 species
CACGUAGGGUGCGAGCGUUUGUCCGGAAUUAUUGGGCGUAAAGAGCUCGUAGGCGGUGUGUCGCGUCGGCCGUGAAAACCUGUGGCUUAACCAUGGGCUUGCGGUCGAUACGGGCAUCACUGGAGUUCGGCAGGGGAGACUGGAAUUCCUGGUGUAGCGGUGAAAUGCGCAGAUAUCAGGAGGAACACCGAUGGCGAAGGCAGUUCUCUGGGCCGUAACUGACGCUGAGGAGCGGAAAAGCGUGGGGGAGCGAACAGG